rnacentral:rRNA from 1 species
GAGCGGACAGAAGGGAGCUUGCUCCCGGAUGUUAGCGGCGGACGGGUGAGUAACACGUGGGUAACCUGCCUGUAAGACUGGGAUAACUCCGGGAAACCGGAGCUAAUACCGGAUAGUUCCUUGAACCGCAUGGUUCAAGGAUGAAAGACGGUUUCGGCUGUCACUUACAGAUGGACCCGCGGCGCAUUAGCUAGUUGGUGAGGUAACGGCUCACCAAGGCGACGAUGCGUAGCCGACCUGAGAGGGUGAUCGGCCACACUGGGACUGAGACACGGCCCAGACUCCUACGGGAGGCAGCAGUAGGGAAUCUUCCGCAAUGGACGAAAGUCUGACGGAGCAACGCCGCGUGAGUGAUGAAGGUUUUCGGAUCGUAAAGCUCUGUUGUUAGGGAAGAACAAGUGCAAGAGUAACUGCUUGCACCUUGACGGUACCUAACCAGAAAGCCACGGCUAACUACGUGCCAGCAGCCGCGGUAAUACGUAGGUGGCAAGCGUUGUCCGGAAUUAUUGGGCGUAAAGGGCUCGCAGGCGGUUUCUUAAGUCUGAUGUGAAAGCCCCCGGCUCAACCGGGGAGGGUCAUUGGAAACUGGGAAACUUGAGUGCAGAAGAGGAGAGUGGAAUUCCACGUGUAGCGGUGAAAUGCGUAGAGAUGUGGAGGAACACCAGUGGCGAAGGCGACUCUCUGGUCUGUAACUGACGCUGAGGAGCGAAAGCGUGGGGAGCGAACAGGAUUAGAUACCCUGGUAGUCCACGCCGUAAACGAUGAGUGCUAAGUGUUAGGGGGUUUCCGCCCCUUAGUGCUGCAGCUAA